rnacentral:rRNA from 1 species
GACGAACGCUGGCGGCGUGCCUAAUACAUGCAAGUAGAACGCACAGUUUAUACCGUAGCUUGCUACACCAUAGACUGUGAGUUGCGAACGGGUGAGUAACGCGUAGGUAACCUGCCUGGUAGCGGGGGAUAACUAUUGGAAACGAUAGCUAAUACCGCAUAAUAUUAAUUAUUGCAUGAUAAUUAAUUGAAAGGUGCAAUUGCACCACUACCAGAUGGACCUGCGUUGUAUUAGCUAGUAGGUGAGGUAACGGCUCACCUAGGCGACGAUACAUAGCCGAGCUGAGAGGGUGAUCGGCCACACUGGGACUGGGACACGGCCCAGACUCCUACGGGAGGCAGCAGUAGGGAAUCUUCGGCAAUGGACGAAAGUCUGACCGAGCAACGCCGCGUGAGUGAAGAAGGUUUUCGGAUCGUAAAGCUCUGUUGUAAGAGAAGAACGGGUGUGAGAGUGGAAAGUUCACACUGUGACGGUAUCUUACCAGAAAGGGACGGCUAACUACGUG